AUAAAAUUCAAAUUAGGGAUAUUUUUGUAAUACUCUUUUAUGCUACGUGUCAUUUCUAUUGUUCUCAAUAACCUGCAUCAGCUAUCCUUUUGCCUCUCUGUCACUACUGUGUCUAUCUUCUCCACUGCACAACACAAUACAAGCCAUAGAAGACCACUCACAAUUCCAACAUUCUUAUUAGUUUCCUUUUAAUCUAAGAACUCAAAUCUACUUGGAGUUAUAUACAGAAAAUUGAGUGUUUUUUUUAAAAAUCAGAUUUUAGGCCGAGGUUUAAUUUGAGUUUCACUCAACGAUUUUGGCAUAGUGAAGAAAAGCAGAUAUCCAUGUAAAUGCCAAAUGAUGAGGAGACAUUUGGAUGGAUGAAAUUGUGUAAGGCCAUUUGUGGGUGGACAGGCACGUCUACAAGAUUUUGACUUCUUCAUCUAAUGAAGUUUGUACAACUUAGGGAGUAUAGAUGUUUAAUGAGAAUCUCUGUUUAAUUAAGUUCCUUUUCAA